UACAGAGGUCUCAAGCGUUGUUCGGAUUCAUUGGGGCGUAAAGGGUGUGUAGGUGGCGCGCUAAGUCGGGUUGUGAAAUUUCGGAGCUUAACUCCGAAACUGCAUUCGAUACUGGCGUGCUUGAGGACUGGAGAGGAGACUGGAAUUUACGGUGUAGCAGUGAAAUGCGUAGAUAUCGUAAGGAAGACCAGUGGCGAAGGCGGGUCUCUGGACAAGUUCCUGACACUGAGACACGAAGGCCAGGGGAGCAAACGGG
rnacentral:rRNA from 1 species